GACGAACGCUGGCGGCGUGCUUAACACAUGCAAGUCGAACGGAAAGGCCCUGCUUUUGUGGGGUGCUCGAGUGGCGAACGGGUGAGUAACACGUGAGUAACCUGCCCUUGACUUUGGGAUAACUUCAGGAAACUGGGGCUAAUACCGGAUAGGAGCUCCUGCUGCAUGGUGGGGGUUGGAAAGUUUCGGCGGUUGGGGAUGGACUCGCGGCUUAUCAGCUUGUUGGUGGGGUAGUGGCUUACCAAGGCUUUGACGGGUAGCCGGCCUGAGAGGGUGACCGGCCACAUUGGGAGUGAGAUACGGCCCAGACGCCUACGGGAGGCAGCAGUGGGGAAUAGUGCACAAUGGGCGGAAGCCUGAUGCAGCAACGCCGCGUGCGGGAUGACGGCCUUCGGGUAGUAAACCGCUUUCGCCUGUGACGAAGCGUGAGGGACGGUAAUGGGUAAAGAAGCACCGGCUAACUACGU
rnacentral:rRNA from 1 species